GCGCCCGUAGCUCAGGGGAUAGAGUGUUAGGUUGCGGACCUAAAGGUCGGUGGUUCGAAUCCACCCGGGCGUACCA
rnacentral:tRNA from 1 species